AGAGCGAACGCUGGCGGCAGGCCUAACACAUGCAAGUCGAGCGCCCGUAGCAAUACGGGAGCGGCAGACGGGAUAGUAACACGUGGGAACGCGCCCUUCGGUUCGGAAUAACUCAGGGAAACUUGAGCUAAUACCGGAUACGCCCUUACGGGGAAAGAUUUAUUGCCGAAGGAACGGCCCGCGUCCGAUUAGCUAGUUGGUGAGGUAAUGGCUCACCAAGGCGACGAUCGGUAGCUGGUCUGAGAGGAUGACCAGCAUCACUGGGACUGAGACACGGCCCAGACUCCUACGGGAGGCAGCAGUGGGGAAUAUUGGACAAUGGGCGCAAGCCUGAUCCAGCCAUGCCGCGUGGAUGAUGAAGGCCUUAGGGUUGUAAAGUCCUUUUAACGGGAAGAUAAUGACGGUACCCGUAGAAUAAGCCCCGGCUAACUUCGUAGCCAGCAGCCGC
rnacentral:rRNA from 1 species